UAUAUGUACAUGUACACGUACACCACUUACGCCGGUCUAAGUAGAUGCAAUCUCAAUAAGGAACUAAUAGAUGCCGCCCCAAUAAUUUUGAAAAAGGAGAGAGGAUGAGGAAAAAAUGACAAAUUCAUGACGGUCGGUGAAAUAAAACAAAUUAUUUGCAGCUGAUCUUUGAAGCUUGCGUCAAUAUCUGUGCAACAUUGUAGUGCCGCGAAUACAACUGCGAUAUCUGUGGUCACUGAAGCAGCAAAAUGUGAACUUUUCAUUCUUACACGAGCGUACCAUGUCUUUGUUGAUGAUAAUUUGGAACCUAUUCUAACCGGGAUCCUCACAAAAGAAAUAUUAUCAUGAUACUCGUGGAAAUCUGAAUUGGUUUGACCUCCCCCUUUUCGUAAUUGUCUCGCCCACUUUCUGAUGCCCCGCAAUUCCAUAUGUUGAACAUUUGGAUCAUAGUAAAACUUUUACAUACAUAAAUAGUCAAUGUACACUGAAUGCCUCACGGACAUGUACAAUGUAAUUGACACGCCCUCAUCCACCAAAAUAUUGUUUGUUCUCCAACCGAUUUUUUUCUAAAGCUAUAAUCAUCUUUAUCUCCCUCCUUUAAAAAAACACACCACAAAAUCUCAACUUAAGAUUUGACUGAUAAGAAGAUAAGAACACCCAGGAAGGAAUUGAUAUCGGAUAUUCAUAUCUCGUAUUGCCAUGUAAAAAUCAAAUGGAUAUCGCUAAAAUAUCACAAUCCGGAAAACAGAAGCGUGGUUCCGCAUUUACAUUUGAUUGUGACGUAGGCCGAGUAUUUAAGCCUAGAUUUGACAGUUCUUCUUUAAUAUUAGUUAACCAAUUAUUAUUAUAAGUGGACAUAUCUUCGUAACAAGCCUUUAAAAUACAAUUGUCUGUGUUCUUUAGCUUUAUCCAAUAUUUAAAAAGUUUUAAUUUUCUCUUAACACAUAAAGGUAAUCUUCCUAAUUCACAAUAGACCAUAUAUUUCUGCCAAGAACUAUAACUCCUGCAGUUUAUACAAAAGUUGUCUCUCUUGAUAAAUCAGACGACACCGCAUCCUGUCAAACAUAAAUGGACGCUGAAUCAGGACGCUGGAUUUUGCGGUAGAUCUAUUUGAGUUCAGUAAUGAUUGUCAGGAUGACUGAACCAAAUCAUUGACUGAAAUUCCAUCAUUUACAGAGUCUGUAUUAUCACAGACAGGAGAGUAUGCCCCCCCGUAGCAUACACAGACAGGGGAGUAUGCCCCCGCAGCAUACACAGACAGGAGAGUAUGCCCCCGCAGCAUACACAGGCAGGAGAGUAUGCCCCCGCAGCAUACACAGACAGGAGAGUAUGCCCCUGCAGCAUACACAGAGAAGUCCAAUCAUUUUUAUGCUUGUAAAUUUCUCAAUCUAAUCGUGUUAAUUAUGUCUCCCCUAUUCCAGGGACAGACAUGUAUAAUUAUAUAUAUAUAUUGUGUUUGUACUUUCUGUCCAUCUGUCUGUCACAAAAUCCAAAAUCUUGUGAAUGCCUUUUCUCCUGUAUGGGUUAUCUGAUAAACUUGAAACUUUGUACAAUGCUUCGUUACCAUUUGUAGAUGUGCAUAUUGAUGGGAUGUGGGGAUCCAAAUAUUUUCAAUGAAGUUAAGGCCAAUUAAAAUUAAUUGAUAGAUUAUUAUUCCGGUCCGCCCCUCAAAAAAGGGCCCGCUCCGGUUUUUUUAUUUUCGCAAAAAUUACGAUUUCAAACAAACUUGCUUCCCAGUGACAUGAGUUAAUGAUUAAAGUCACAGAAUGUUGGUUUUAUAUCUCUUACCAAGGAUUCUUUGAAUGUUAACUUGAUUAACACUUUGUGUGAUGCCUUUUGUCAUUAAUUUUUUUUCCGGGGAAAUAAAAAUUAAAAUCCUCCCUCCCGCCCCAUAUUUUUUGUGACCCCGGAUGAUAAUCUACUAAUUAAGUUGAAUUGGCCUAAAAGUGGAUCUAAGAGGGUUGGAGGAUGUAAAAUACAUUGUGAUCACUUCUUUUCCUUUAUGGCUUAUUGGAUAGCCUUGAAACUUUGUACAGUGCUUCAAUUCAUAUUGUCAGGAAAGGAGAAUACAUCACAACAGUCAUUAUUUUUGUAUAGUAUACAACAAUGACAUUGGUCACAUCAAUGUUCGAAUCUUUUCUCCAUCUUUUUCUUAAAGUACAGUUCAUAAAAGUUGAUAUUCCUGCUCUGACUUGCUUUCUCCUUCAUACCAUGCAGUACAUUAAGGGGAGGGGAGUAAUUUGGAGCACUUUCAAUUUGGGGAGCUGGGGGAGACAUUUGUUUUUACCAAAAAGCAAUUAUGUUUGAUAUAUACACAUGUACUAUGAUGAUAUGAAAGUUUAAAUUGAUUAGACAUCUUGGCAAUUUUGAAACUAGCACAAAAAGCGGCCAAAAUUGAGGACCAGUUUGCAUUUCUAUCUUCAUGGUCAGAAUUCAUGUUACAAUUGUAAUGUCAUUGUCGUUGUUUUGCAGGGUGAUGAUGAUGUAUCUGGUCAAAUCAUUGACAGAAAUUCCACUACAAAUCCUUUAUUAUCACAGACAGGGAUAUGCUCCCAAACAGCACAAUACUUCACUAAUCCAAGACUUACAAUAGUAUUUUUCCAGGGCAAACUACUGAAAAUGUUUUGUAAAAGUCAUAACACAAUGAAACUUUUAUUGAAUGCACUGUAAUUCUUUUGACAUUUGAGAUUUUCUGAUCAAUUUUUGUUAACGGUCUGUUAUCUGUUUUACAUUUUUCAACUCCUCCCCGACCACUAGGCCAAGUUUUAAAUCAACUAAUUUCUUGAAAGAAGGAGAUUCAUUUUUUUUUUUUUUUUUAGCUCACCUAAGCUGAAAGCUAAGUGAACGUUUCUGAUCAUCUGUUGUCCGUUCAUAUUUCCAUCUGUCUGUCCAUCUAUAAAUUUUUCAUAUUUUUGACUUCUUCUCCAGAACCUUGGGUAAAGGGCUUUCAAGUUUGUUCAAACGAAGGGCCAUGCCCCUUUCAAAGGGGAGAUAAUAAAAAAAAUAGGGUGGGGUCUUUCAUUUAAAAAUCUUCUUAAGAACCGUUGGGCCAGAAGAGCUGAAAUUUACAUGAAAGCUGUCUGACAGUGCAAUUUCAAGUUUGUUCAAAUCAUGACCCUGGGGGUAGGAUGGGGCCAUAGUAGGGGAUUAAAGUUUUACAUACAAAUGUAUAGAGAAAAUCUUUAAAAGUCUUCUUCUGAAGAACCAUUAGGCCAGAGAAGUUUACAUUUACAUGAAAGCUUCCUGAUAGAUUGCAGAUUCAAGUUUGUAAAAAUCAUGGCCCCCAGGGGUAGGUUGGGCCACAGUAGGGAUCAACAUUUUACAUGGAAAUGUAUAAGGAAAUUUAAAUAUGGGCCAAGGUGACUCAGGAGAGCGAUGUGACCAUUGACCUCUUUUUUUCAUUUGUUGAUUUGCAGGGUGAUGAUGGAGUGUCUGACCAAACUCUUGACUGAAAUUCCACCAGUUGUACAAAGCCUGUAAAAUCACAGACAGAUCUGAGAGAUUCUGGUCAAGCUGGACUGCACAAAGAAGAAAGUAUAGUGGGAGGAGCAGAUUGGAUGUACAUUUCUUCCUAGAUUUCAGGACCCACACUAAGGCUAGUCUGCAGGCCCUGACCAUUCAAUCAAAUUCACUGAUGGGCAGUGUAGGUCAGAUAAGUGAUGGACAGUGAUGUGACAUUAUUGAUGGUAAACAGAAGACUAUGACCUUGAAUCUGAAGAUCUCUCAUAAAGAGCAGGUGUACUACAAAUCUAACAGUGCCAUACUCAGCCACAAAGAGGUUGUCUCUGAUGUCCACACAUAAACCUAAUGGAUAGUCUAAAUCACAGUGAAUGUAACGGAGGAACUGUCCGUCCUGAUCUAGGAUGUGGAUACGGUUAUUGCUAUAGUCUGCUGUCAGGAUGUGACUCUGGCUGUCUGUAGUGAUGCCGACUGGACUAAAUGAUUGCUUGGUAUUAGAGGGAUGACCAGUGUAUCUAAAUCGGAGUUUUCCUGACUGAUUGACCACCACUACUGCGUUAGCUGACCAGUCAGCCACACAAAUAUCCAGGUUCCUGUUCUCACUAAUGUAUUUAUCUAAACAAUCAGAUGAGUAGAGAGGAUGACCCUGAUCAUCAAACUGAAUGCUUUGUUUCUCUGUGGAGCCAGAGUAACGCACGACUUUGGAUGGUUUUCUAUCGUCACUGUACAUGGUAACCAGGAGAUCAUCGGAGGCGGUACUGCAGACAUUGCGAGGUACCCACCCCUGUAGUGUGAUCACGGUGUUUAUCUAACAUCAUGUCAACUUUGAGCGGCACUACUCAUACGAGUAGUUUUGAAGGGAUCAUAAUGAGUGGUGAUGCGUUGAUGUCCACGUGGUGUGGUGGAUGAAGGGAACCUGAAACACAUUGCUGUCUGACGCGUUUCAUACCUAUUGUUAGAGUCUCGUGUGGAUCCGGGUUAGAAUAGGUCUUCAGUACCCCCUGCUUGUCGUAAGAGGCAACUAAAUUGGACAGUCCUUCGGAUGAGACCGCAAAAACCGAGCUCCCGCGUGUCACAGCAGGUGUGACACGAAUAAUAUCCCUCCAUGCUGAAAGGCCGUAAGCGCCCAGCAUAGGCCUAAAUUUUGCAGUCCUUCACUGGCAAUGGUGACGUCUCCAUAUGAGUGAAAAUUAUAGAAUGGGACGUUAAACAAUACGCUACUACAACCAAUUGUUAGAGCGUUCUUUACGUUGUAUACACAAUGAUUUUGACCACGGACUACUCCGUUUACCUGAUCAAGAAAUAGGACUCACGGCGGUUGUGACCGGUCGACAGUACUAAGAUGCUUAGUCUUUGGCACCUGAUCCUGUCCCUGGAGUGUUCAGGGCCCGUGUCUGUCCUUUUAAUUUUGUGCUCCUUAUAGGAAUUGUGAGAUAAAUCACUGUUCGUUAUCUUCACUUUGUUCUGGGAAAUAUUAUCGGAUUUUUCCUGCACGUGGGGCAGUAUUAUUUAUAUUGUGCUCUUAAUUUGUCUUUUCGAGAAUAAAUGAAUUGUUAUUGCAUUA